UCAUUAACUAUUCCCGAUAAAUUGACAAAAUCAAGCUCACAGUGGUAGACAGCUGAUUCUCAGUGGAAAAGGACAAAGGAUCCGUCAGACAUGUCUGGUGAUACUGUAAAUCAGCAUAACCUUUGAUGGGACACAGUCACGCAAAAUGUGACAACCAUAAAAUUCUGACCAGCAAUUCCACUUUUGAAAACAGCCCCAAAGAGACAGGACAAAGUAAACAGGGAAAACACAGAUGGCCUUCUCCAGCCACAGAGGCAGUCCCUGGUGCCCAGAGCGGGGACAGUUGGUGACUCGAUCCAGGAGAGGAAGUCACCUGCGCCCUGAACUCUGAGGCUCACAUCCUGUGAACCUGCUCAGGAGAGCUAAGGUGUGGCCCACCAGUGCCUUUUGGGGACUCAUAGAAACAGCUCCUCUCACCUAGAAAGAAACAGAGCCACCAUCUUCCCACCCCUCAAAGGUGUCUCUGCAAGUGAAAUGGAAAGGAAACCUGAAACAGAGAAUCUCCAAAGGUAGAAUUUCAGGCUCUGGGGAAUUGUGUGGCUGGGAAGCUGGGAGAUGGUGACCUUAAAAUCAUACCAGGGAGAUGGCUUUACGCUUUCACUAUAUAGUCUGGCUCUGCACAAACUGGAUAUGAAUUCCUAUCCUCAAGGCAGCAAAUAUUGCAUUUCUACCAGAAAGAUAAAGACAUUGCCAUCCAAAUUACCUAGUAUGGAUCAAUACAUAAAUGGCAACAUUUUCUGCAGGACUGGCCAAAAUAAUCUGGAAACAGGUCACAAGGAUUUAUUUAAUAGAAAAGUUGAGUGUGUGGCUUGCAAUCCAACAUCUGGAACUUAAUCAGAAUCAGACAGAGAUCUUACUGAAAAUAUUCGAACACACAGAAGAGAACUCUUGGAGGUGCAGCAAGGCAGAGGUGGAAGGGUCCUUAUGAGACACUCCAGGGGCUAGUCCUAGCAGCAAGGCCAGGUAAGUUGUCAACCUGAAAAGGUAACUCUGAGAAGGACAACUGAGGCAUGGAGGAAAUGUGAAGCCACAGAAGGAGCAGAGGCCGGGGCAAGAAGCACAGAGCCUGGAGAUUGACCCCACCUAACCCUAGGGCUCUGAGUUUCUCCUUCCAGCCUUCCCCUGCUCACCGCCUGGAAGCAUACCCAGCCAGUCCUGGCUGAAAGUCCCUGCUGGAGCCUUGGAGAUGUAACUAGACUCUUCUAGCAGCCAAUGUUGGCGCUCCACCCAGACCCACUCAGCUUCCUUCUUACUGUGUGCUUGUGUUUUGCUUGGCUGGGAUGACUAUGAGAUGUCACUCACACUCUAGAUAGAGUCCCCUGCAAGAUCCAGUGGGAACCCCCCUCCCUGGGGCUUUUAUCUCAGAUUGUACCUGUUACAGGUUGAAUUGUAUCCCCCCAAAGUAUAUACCCAGUGCCACACAAUGUGACUGUAUUUGGAAAUAGGCCAUUGCAGAUGUAAUUAGUUAAGACAGUGGGCCCUUUAUAAGAAAAGAGGAAUCUGGGCAUGGAAACAGAGACACACAAGAAGCUAGCCAUGUGAAGACUGAAGCAGAGAUUGGAUUUAUGGGAGUUACUGGAGCUACCACAAGCCAAGGAAUACCUGGGGCCACUACAAGCUGGAAGGGGUAAGGAAGGAUUCUCCCCUAGAGACUUUAGGGAGCAUGGCCAACCAGCACCUUGAUGUGGGACUUCUGGCCUCCAGGACCAUGAGACAAUAAAGUUCUGUUGUUUGAAGCCCCCCAGUCUGCAGUGCUUCGUUUUGGCAGCCCUGAAAGCCCACCUUCAUCUCAGCCUCUGCCCUGUCCUGGCCUGCUUCUGCAGCUUCCUCAUCUCCCUGGAGGCACUUUUUUAAAAAAUGAUUGCCCACAAAUCCUGGCCUGAAGAAGCCAGUGUUGGUGUCUAAACCCACACUCCUUCUCACCAACACUGGAGCUCUGAGGAGCAGGGAGAUCCGGGUCUAAAGCGCCAAGUGCACUGCAGAGACUGCGGAGACCACAGGGGCGUGGCGCCGGCCCCAGGAAACCAUGAGUCAACCUUGAAAGGGGAAAGCCUGGCCACACCAAGGGGCGCCAAAAGGGGAAUUUCCAAGUCAUCACUCUACUCAAUAUAAACGAAUCGCCGGGUCCUUCCAUCAUUCAACAAGAGCUUUCUGAGCAAUUACUCCAAACAUCCCCAGGUGUGGUGGGAAACACAGAUCCUUCCUUGAAGAAGCAGGGAGGGGCUUUGACUGUGAAAGCCAUUGAUUUCUUGUGAUCUGCAUGAAGACAGUCACCCGGGGCUCACGUGCUGGUGCUGCUUCUCCUUUGCCAACCGUCCUGGCCCAUCCUGAGCUCUGCCCCAACUUGGGCCCAUCUUCCUCCUCUGGCCUUAUGACACAGUGGCCGGGCUUUCCGAUGCCCUGCCUGGGACCACGCCACCGCUGCCUGCUGUCUCGGGUCUCACAAAACCCAGGGCGUGCUGAGCAGAAGGAACCUCAUUCCAAGCCCUUAUUCCAAGAGGGGAACGUGGAGGCCCGCACAGGUCAAUAACCAGUUCAGUGUCACACAGCAUCUGUGACCGGAAUUCAAGUCACUUUAUGAAUAACACAUCUAAGGUUGUGGGAUAUGGUACAAGUUGGGAAUCCUGCAGAUCCGAGCUGGAAUCAUCCCACUCCAGAGACCUUGGGCACAUUACUAAGCUUGCCUGAAUCCCUUUGCCGUCUAUAAAAUAGAUCUCACAGCAUCUACAUCAUGAGUCAUGUCAAGGCUAAAAUGGGAAAACCUAUGUUAUCUUAGCACAAUUCCUGACACAUACUAGUAGACAAUGUAUGAUAACUAUUACUUAAUGAUAGUUAUACUUACAAAAAUUAUCUUAUUAUUCUCUAGUUAUUAUUCUCAUUCUCCAGUUGCCUCCACUUUAGUAAGCAAAAUUCUGUAGAAUAUUACUUUCUUUUGUUUGUUUUUGAGACAGGGUCUCGCUCUGUCACUCAGGCUGGAGUGCAGUGGUACAAUCUCGGCUCACUGCAGCCUCAACCUCUUUGGCUCAAGCGAUUCUUCCCCCUCAGCCUCUCAAGUAGCUGGGACUACAGGCACAUGCCACCAGGCCUGGCUAAUUUUUGUAUUUUUUUUUUUUUUUUUUUUGUAGAAACAAGGUUUCACUAUGUUGCCUGGACUUGUCUUGAACUCCUGAACUCAGCGAUCCACCCGUCUUGGCCUCAAAGUGCUGGGAUUACAGGCGUGAGCCAUCGUGCACAUCCAGAACAUUAUUUUCUUUUAUGUCUGGGACUAGCAUCUGUAAAGUUUCUCUGUAAAGAGCCAGAUAGCAAAUAUUUUAGAUUUUAGGUUUUGUGGGCUAGGUCGUCUCUGUCAUAACUAUUCAACUUAGCCACCGUUGCACAAAAGAAGCCAUAAAUAAUAUGUGAGCAAAUAUGUGUGGUUGUGUUAGAGUGAAACUUCAUUUACAAUAACAAGUGUCCAACCAGAUUUAACCUGCAAGCUGCAGUGUGCCAAUACCUGAUCUAGGACCCUUAUAAUUGAUGAUCACACAGUCGUAUCUGACACAAAGCCAAAAAAAACCUAAGUGAAUUUAGCAUAACUUUAAAGUGUAUUUUAUAAUAUUUUUAAAGUCGAUAAUCUGUGUCUAACAGAAAUUUGAUCAAUCAGAAAUUUUAUUAAGAAUGACAAUAAGCCAGGAGCAGUGGCUCACGCCUGUAAUCCCAGCACUUAGGGAGGCUGAGGCAGGUGGAUCACCUGAGGUCAGGAGUUCGAGACCAGCCUGACCAACAUGGAGAAACCCCGUCGCUACUAAAAAUACAAAAUGAGCCUGGUGUGGUGGCACAUGCCUGUAAUCCCAGCUACUCAGGAGGCUGAGGCAGGAUAAUUGCUUGAACCUAGGAGGUGGAGGUUGUGGUGAGCUGAGAUCACACCAUUGCACUCCAGCCUGGGCAACAAGAGCGAAACUCCAUCUCAAAAAUUAAUAAUAAUAAUAAUAAUAAUAAUAAUAAUAAUAAUAAUGACAAUAGUAAUAAUUAGCACCAGACAAAGCAUUUUACAUACAUGAUCUCAUUUAAUCUUCACUACAGCUCUGUGAGGUAGGUAUUAUUAUAUAAUAGCUCCAUUUUACGAGUAGCUAAUCUUCAGAGAAGUUAGGUAACUUGCCCAAGGUUAAUGGUAUCUUGUGGAAGAGCAAAGAUUUGAACCCGGGGCUGCUGGACUCCAAAGCCCAUGCUUUUAUACCCUAUUCUUUACCACCUCCCAUCCUGGGGCCACACUGGGAAACUGAGGUUACUAUUUAACAGCACCUCUAUUAAUAAAGAAUGUGUGCCCCAAUGACACGUGCAUUUGUCAGGAACUUCAUCACUAGGGUGUUGGACAGGCGGGAACUAGGAUGUCAGGAAAUGAGGACUACAGGGAGUACUAUUAAAUGCUAACUAAAAUAAUAUCAAGUGUAGCUCAAAAUACAAAAAUAUAAAUAUCUAGGAAUUAUAAAAUGAGGGUUUAAGGAGAAGAGAUGGAAGGCAGCACAGGCAGAGAAUUCUAGAACUGGUUGUGUAAAUGUCUGAACCAGUCUAGGUGUAAGCAAAUAGAGAAAGGUGGUGAAUUGGAGAGAACAUUCCUGACUAUGAUAUGUUUCCACAAAUAGUUACUGCACACCUGCUCUAUGCCAACUGCUCUAUGCUAUUUUAAGUGUUGGGAAUUAGGUUAAAAAAAAGAAAGGAAAACAGACAAAAAAUCACUGCCUUCAUGGCAUUUACAUCCUAUUGAGGAAGAAAAAGGUAGUAAAAUAAAUAAGAUAAUUUAUAGAAUAAGGGAUAGUACUAAGUUUGAAAGAGAAAAAUAAGAGAGAAAAGAGGAAAUCUAUUGUCUGCAAUUCUUUGAAUGAAAGUUUUUUAUUCCAAAACAGGAUAAAUAUGAGUUUGCCUGGGAGCAGUAAUAUGUCAAAAACUACUUAACCAAAAGUGUAAUGAACAAUUUAUUGGCAAGUAUAAACACUAGAAUUUUUCCAUAGUGACAAAUGGAAGGGGAAAAGGAAGAAAACAGGACAGCAAGCAUUAAACCAAGGAUGGGGAUGUGACCUCCUUUCAGCCUCAGUUCAAAAAUCAUUAUCUCCAUGAAGGCAUCCCCAACUCCCCAGGAAAAAUUCUUUCCUAUUGUUUCUGGACAUCAGAAGGUUUUUGGCUUAUUCCAUGACCUACUGAAAAGUGCUCCCAG
rnacentral:lncRNA from 10 species